ensembl:lncRNA
GAGAUCCCUAAAGCGAACUGUGAAAAUAGCUUGUAAAAUUUCAAACAUUUGAACAAUUCUGAAUUCGGCGAAUGUUUGGGCGGCGCUGAAGAACAUAUGGAGAAAUAGCAGCAUCGGCCGAGUCCAACUAUUGUUAUCUUUUGUUGUUGGUCACCUUGAACAAGUUUUUUUUUGGUGGAAGGGAAGAAAAUAAAUUUAGUGGCUAAGCAACAGCAAGUAGGAACCAAACUUAGGUAAAGAUGGAAGGCUGAGCGCUCCUUUAAUUCUGCCGGAAAACUCCUUUUUCAGAAGCAAACAAGAAGGAAUUACUUCAUAAUCUCUUCCCUGCCCUUGAUGGACCAUUGUUGUGGUGGUGUUAAUUGACCAUUAGUGUGGAGGACCCUCCUUUUCAAAUUCUAACUGAAGUACAGAUUGUUGAGUUGGACUUGCCUUCUCUGUUGAAAAUAAUACAUUGCUCCCUCCCUGUGGAAACGGAAAACUCUAUUGAUUUGGGCACCUGAAAUUUGUACCCAGCCUCAGCUUAUAUCUCCUGUGGCAAUAUAACUAAAGGUACCCCCCUGAGUGUGAUCGCCCAAGGGACCCAGGAUGGAAGAGGUCUGGGCAGUCUACUUGUGCCUGUUCUUGUUUAUCGUCAUCCUUAUUUUGAUGAAGACGAAGCCAGAUGAUGAUAUCAUAAAAGAAAAAGAGAAGGGAAUUUCAAGCACCUCAAGCUCAAGCUCCUUCUCCUCUGGCACCUUGGGAAAACGCCUGGAGUGCACGGAGGAAGAACUGGAGGCCUCCCUGAGGCGGCUGAGCGGUGUUUUGUUCGGUUCGGACGCCCACAAGAGAGAGCCGCAUCACGAACACCAUCAGGAAAAAGCAUCUCACCAUGCCAGUCAUGAGCACCUUGUGAAUGAGAUUGGUGAGUUACCUGCUAAUUAGCCAUAGUGUUCCACCAGAUUGUUACAAUCGGACUCGUUUUGUUCAUUUGUACCUCCAGGCUCUUGUCCUGGUGGCCCUACGGAAAACAUUCCGGAUCUUGGAUUUGACUUGUAGAGGAACCUAAGCCUGUGAUUCUCAACCUUUGGCCCUCCACAUGUUUUGACUCCCAGAAUCCUGGACUGUUAGCGAUGCCUAUAAAAGCAGAAGUUCCAAACAUCCGAUACACAGAGACUGACUGGCCUAAACAAUAUUUGCCUUUCCACAUGUGAUUGAAGACUUUGUUUACUAAAUCCCAUUACAACAUUUGGGGGGUUGGCAGUAGUAUCAGAGCACUGUUAUCUUGUGGUUUCAGUCCUUUGAUGAUGAUCUGAGCAGACUGCCUCCUUUGUAAAGGAAUCACAACCACACUUGUAAGACAGUAAGAACACUUGUGGGGUUUUUAGAGAAGUGCACUUGUGCUGCAAGUUCAGAAGACCUGCAGUCGUAAGAUGGAAUCUGCACAACGGAGGGAGCUCCCGGUGCUUGUCCCAGCUCCUGCCAACCUAGCAGUUCGAAAGCAUGUAAAAAUACGAAAUUUGAUUCUUUUUGUUCAAUUGGCAGGGGGGAGUUUCUUUUGCACCAGUUCAGCUGGCACUGCUUUUUCCAUUUUUUGGCAUAUGUGAUCACCUACCUUGAUACAAAAGGUGGUAGCAGUUGUUCCCUAUAAUAAUAUGAUGUCUUCAGCGGUCAUGGUCUUGACAGCAGGAUAAAAACUCCUGAGUGCCUGUUUUCUCCCUUUUCUGAAUAACUUUUCUAUACAGUAUCCACAGUGGGUAUCCACAGUGGGUUGGUUCCAAGCCCCCUCGUGGAUGUAAAAAAAUUUGGAAAUAUCAAACGCAAUACAGUGCAUGGUCUCUGGUUCCCUCUAGUAGUCAGUUCUGGUAAAUACAGCAUGGAAAUACACCAUGAGUUUUUAUAUAGUAUUUUCAGACAACAGAUAAGUGCAUACCAAUCCAGUUGA